UACGGAGGGUGCAAGCGUUAUCCGGAAUCACUGGGUUUAAAGGGUGCGUAGGCGGCUAAAUAAGUCAGAGGUGAAAGCUUGCAGCUUAACUGCGAAAUUGCCUUUGAUACUGUAUAGCUUUAAAGGAGCUGAGGUCAGCAGAAUGUGGCAUGUAGCGGUGAAAUGCAUAGAUAUGCCAUAAAAAACCAAAUGCGAAGGCAGCUGGCUGGGCUUACUUUGACGCUGGGGCACCGAAGCCUGGGGAUCGAACAGG
rnacentral:rRNA from 1 species